rnacentral:piRNA from 1 species
UGUCCUUGUUGACUGUCGAGCCACCCUUGGU